UCCCUGGAGGGCUAGUGGUUAGGCCACGGCACUCUCACCACUGUGGCCUGGGUUCAAUUCCUAGCCAGGGAA